GACCCAACUACAGAGUAGAGCCCCCUAAAAAAAAAACUACAGAGUAGAGUACACGACCUCGCAUCCUCACAUCCCGAUUCAUAGAAACCACCAGCAGCCAAUCUCUUGUUCUCCCACUGCUAACCCUAGCCGCCGCCUGCUGCUUGCCUCGAUGCGCGCCGCGCCCCCCUGAAUGAAGACCUGCGCCCGAGCGGCGGCCCUAGCCGGUGAAGACCGGCGCCCGAGCGGCAGGCCUGGCAGGUGAAGACGGGCACCGCGAGCGGCGGCCCUGAGCCCCUGACCGUGAAGACUGUCGCCCUGCGCCGCCGCCAACCCCAACCUCCCGUCGGUCGCUCCACCGCCUACGACGCGGCCGUCCGCCGCCGGUGCUCCACCUCCCGACGACCUGCCCACUUUUGGUUCUCGACAUCGCAGCUGAAGAUGUUUUCUGAACAUGAUGACAAACUGAAUGAGAAUCAAGAUGCAUUUAUGAGUGUAGAGGCAAAGGCAGAUGCAGAAGCAGCAGCUGCAGAAGCAGGAGACGAAUCUUCUUGCUUUCUUUCAAAUAGAAAUGAUUAUGCAUACAUGAAUCUUGUUGCUGGACCAUGAAUCAUGAAUGUUCUUACUUUGUGUCAUAUGAAUCUUGUUACUUGCUCUCAAAUGUAAACAUGUACUGGUACUUUGCUACUUGCUGUUGCAUAUAAACAUGUAUUGGUACUUUCUGCUCUCAAA